UACGAAGGGGGCUAGCGUUGCUCGGAAUUACUGGGCGUAAAGCGCACGUAGGCGGGUUCUUAAGUCGGUGGCGAAAUCCUGGAGCUCAACUCCAGAACUGCCUUCGAUACUGGGAAUCUAGAGUCCGGAAGAGGUGAGUGGAACUGCGAGUGUAGCGGUGAAAUGCGUAGAGAUGGGGGAGAACACUCGUGGCGAAGGCGGCCAGCUAGACCAGUUCUGACACUGAGGCGCGACAGCGUGGGGAGCAAACAGG
rnacentral:rRNA from 1 species